rnacentral:rRNA from 2 species
UGUUUGAUGUUCUAACGUGGACCCGUGAUCCGGGUUGCGGACAGUGUCUGGUGGGUAGUUUGACUGGGGCGGUCUCCUCCUAAAGAGUAACGGAGGAGCACGAAGGUUGGCUAAUCCUGGUCGGACAUCAGGAGGUUAGUGCAAUGGCAUAAGCCAGCUUGACUGCGAGCGUGACGGCGCGAGCAGGUGCGAAAGCAGGUCAUAGUGAUCCGGUGGUUCUGAAUGGAAGGGCCAUCGCUCAACGGAUAAAAGGUACUCCGGGGAUAACAGGCUGAUACCGCCCAAGAGUUCAUAUCGACGGCGGUGUUUGGCACCUCGAUGUCGGCUCAUCACAUCCUGGGGCUGAAGUAGGUCCCAAGGGUAUGGCUGUUCGCCAUUUAAAGUGGUACGCGAGCUGGGUUUAGAACGUCGUGAGACAGUUCGGUCCCUAUCUGCCGUGGGCGCUGGAGAACUGAGGGGGGCUGCUCCUAGUACGAGAG